rnacentral:rRNA from 1 species
UACGUAGGGGGCAAGCGUUGUCCGGAUUUAUUGGGCGUAAAGAGCGUGUAGGCGGCCAGGUAGGUCCGCUGUGAAAACUCGAGGCUCAACCUCGAGAUGUCGGCGGAAACCAUCUGGCUAGAGUCCGGAAGAGGAGAGUGGAAUUCCUGGUGUAGCGGUGAAAUGCGCAGAUAUCAGGAAGAACACCCGUGGCUAAGGCGGCUCUCUAGUACGGUACUGACGCUGAGACGCGAAAGCGUGGGGAGCGAACAGG